rnacentral:lncRNA from 1 species
CGCAUACUAAUUCGAGUCAACCUUAUCCACAUAUCAUUCUCCCUCCCUCUCUCUCACGUAUGUCCCCAUCUCUUUUGCCUGUUCCCCUCCUCGUUCUUCUCGUGUGUUCCCCUUCACCUCCAUGGAUGCUUUCUAUCUUUGUAGAUUCCCUGCUACAACCACCUCACACCACCUUCUUCCUCCACGAAUCAAUCUUUCUCUUAACUCCACAUCACGCUGUCAUUACGGAUGAUGCAAAGAAGGCCCCAAAGAUGAUGCCCCCAUCAAGCAUUAGAUAGCAAAAUGAUUUGGUAUGUUAUGAUUUUGAGCUUGGGCUAUACAAUUGAUAUGAUCUUCCCACUUCCCUUUCUUGCCUCUAUUUUAAUUAACAUGACAAUUUUUAGGAUUCACAAUGAAUUCUGGCAACGAAUUCUGUAGCGACUACUACGAAGUUCUAAUCUGGCAACUAGGUACUUUUAUUUCUGAGAAGUAAGCAUUCUCUAACUUGGCAACCUGGUUUAUCUAUUCUGACAAGUUCAUAUAAUUAAUUCUGAAAAUUAUGGGGUAAACAUGUACAACAAAUUCGAGUAUGGGAGUCUCGGCCACUAUUCUGGCAACGGGAUUCAACCAAUCUGACAACCUGAUUAAAUUAAUCUGGUAGUUAAGAGUAGCCGUAAAAUCCAAACAUGGCAAGCUCAACAACUAAGUUUUUUUCUUUUUGCGAAUGAAGCGCAACAGUUAAUCUGACAACCUGAUAUAAAUAAUCUAGAAAUUUGAUACAACUUAUCCGGAAACUAGGGAGUAGGUAAGUACGAAAAUCAAAAUUUUGCAGCUUACAUUGUCUUCUUUCCUUCAAAACCUUCAUUUUAUCAUUGGUUUCCUCCCUAAUGUUUUGUUCGUGAAAGCAGAUCUAAUGACCAACAUCACUGCAAGUCUGUUGGAGAAGGAGCUAAUGGUUAGACAUAGUGAAAGCGACACGGGAUCGUAGGUGAAGCCUUUUUGUUGAAAAAAGAAGUACGAAGGGCAACGUGAAAGCGACAGGUAAAAGUAGGCUCAUGCGUGUCCUACCAACAAACAAACAGUUGUAAAACAAAACAUUUUUUAUGCAUGGUGUAUCCAGCAGCCGUCGCACUGAAAGAUACAUAUGCGGUGCCGCUGUGUAGUGGUGUUCUUUAAUAUUAUUAUUUUUGUAGACACGUUUGAAGCGUUUUUUGCAUUGCCUUUCUAGAGACAAGGCAAACAGAUAUAGUACGGAGUAUCUGUUUUUUUUUUUCACACCGCAUUCGUCUCCUUUGUUAUACACAUGUAUCUUCCCCGCAAAAAAACAUGUACUCC